GGAUUGUGGCUCAGCGGUAGAGCGCUCCCCUAGCACGGGCGGGACCUGGGUUGGAUUCUCAGCACCA
rnacentral:tRNA from 1 species